rnacentral:ncRNA from 1 species
CUGGACAGAGCCUUUUCCAAAAGAAUUCUGACCGACAAUGUAAGCAAGGCGAUUGUCCUUCAAUGCUCCUGCAAGAAUUUCAGAAGCACUGGCAGAACCUUUAUUUAUAAUUACUACAACCGGCAUUUCUUUGGGUACAGAAGUUUUUAUCUUGCUGGCUUUAUGCUCGUCAAUUUUUACAGAGUUGCGGCCUUUUGUAGAAACAAUGACACCUGAAUCAAUAAACUUGUCAGCAACAUCAACAGCUGCAGUCAAAAGUCCACCCGGAUUAUUACGA